rnacentral:rRNA from 1 species
GGCGGCGUGCCUAACACAUGCAAGUCGAGCGAGAAAGCCCGCAAGGGUGAGUAAAGCGGCGAACGGGUGAGUAACACGUAGGUAACCUGCCUUACAGUCCGGGACAACCUGUCGAAAGACGGGCUAAUACUGGAUAAGACCACGACUCUUUCGGGAGCAGUGGUAAAAGAUGGCCUCUUCAUGAAAGCUAUCACUGAAAGUUGGGCCUGCGCACCAUUAGCUAGUUGGUAGGGUAAUGGCCUACCAAGGCUACGAUGGUUAGCUGAUCUGAGAGGAUGAUCAGCCACACUGGAACUGAAACACGGUCCAGACUCCUACGGGAGGCAGCAGUGGGGAAUAUUGCGCAAUGGGGGAAACCCUGACGCAGCAACGCCGCGUGAGUGACGAAGGCCUUCGGGUCGUAAAGCUCUGUCCGGAGGGAAAGAAACUACAGAUGGCUAAUAUCCAUUUGUAU